rnacentral:rRNA from 1 species
CGUAAAGUUCUUUCGCGUAGGAGCAAGAAAAGGAUGUGAAUAGCAUUCUGAUUUGAGGGUACUACGAUAAGAAGCACCGGCUAACUCCGUGC